AGAGUUUGAUCCUGGCUCAGGAUGAACGCUGGCGGCGUGCCUAAUACAUGCAAGUCGAGCGAACAGAUAAGGAGCUUGCUCCUUUGACGUUAGCGGCGGACGGGUGAGUAACACGUGGGUAACCUACCUAUAAGACUGGAAUAACUCCGGGAAACCGGGGCUAAUGCCGGAUAACAUAUAGAACCGCAUGGUUCUAUAGUGAAAGAUGGUUUUGCUAUCACUUAUAGAUGGACCCGCGCCGUAUUAGCUAGUUGGUAAGGUAAUGGCUUACCAAGGCGACGAUACGUAGCCGACCUGAGAGGGUGAUCGGCCACACUGGAACUGAGACACGGUCCAGACUCCUACGGGAGGCAGCAGUAGGGAAUCUUCCGCAAUGGGCGAAAGCCUGACGGAGCAACGCCGCGUGAGUGAUGAAGGGUUUCGGCUCGUAAAACUCUGUUAUUAGGGAAGAACGUAUGUGUAAGUAACUGUGCACAUCUUGACGGUACCUAAUCAGAAAGCCACGGCUAACUACGUGCCAGCAGCCGCGGUAAUACGUAGGUGGCAAGCGUUAUCCGGAAUUAUUGGGCGUAAAGCGCGCGUAGGCGGUUUCUUAAGUCUGAUGUGAAAGCCCACGGCUCAACCGUGGAGGGUCAUUGGAAACUGGGAAACUUGAGUGCAGAAGAGGAAAGUGGAAUUCCAUGUGUAGCGAUGAAAUGCGCAGAGAUAUGGAGGACACCAGUGGCGAAGCGACUUUUCUGGGUCUGUAACUGACGCUGAUGUGCGAAGCGUGGGGAUCAAACAGAUUAGAUACCCUGGUAGUCCACGCCGUAAACGAUGAGUG
rnacentral:rRNA from 1 species